GACGAACGCUGGCGGCGUGCUUAACACAUGCAAGUCGAACGGAAAGGCCCUGCUUUUGUGGGGUGCUCGAGUGGCGAACGGGUGAGUAACACGUGAGUAACCUGCCCUUGACUUUGGGAUAACUUCAGGAAACUGGGGCUAAUACCCGAUAGGAGCUCCUGCUGCAUGGUGGGGGAUGGAAAGUUUCGGCGGUUGGGGAUGGACUCGAGGCUUAUCAGCUUGUUGGUGGGGUAGUGGCUUACCAAGGCUUUGACGGGUAGCCGGCCUGAGAGGGUGACCGGCCACAUUGGGACUGAGAUACGGCCCAGACUCCUACGGGAGGCAGCAGGGGGGAAUAUUGCACAAUGGGCGGAAGCCAGAUGCAGCAACGCCGCGUGCGGGAUGACGGCCUUCGGGUUGUAAACCGCUUUCGCCUGUGACGAAGCGUGAGUGACGGUAAUGGGUAAAGAAGCACCGGCUAACUACGUG
rnacentral:rRNA from 1 species